rnacentral:rRNA from 1 species
AACGAACGCUGGCGGCAGGCCUAACACAUGCAAGUCGAGCGAGCAUUUCGGUGCUAGCGGCGGACGGGUGUGUAACGCGUGGGAACGUGCCCUUUUCUGCGGAAUAGUCAUGGGAAACUGGGGGUAAUACCGCAUACGCCCUUUUUGGGAAAGAUUUCUCGGAGAAGGGUCGGCCAGCGUUGGAUUAGGUAGUUGGUGAGGUAAUGGCCAGCCAAGCCGACGAUCCAUAGCUGGUUUGAGAGGAGGAUCAGCCACACUGGGACGGAGACACGGCCCAGACUCCGACGGGAGGCAGCAGUGGGGAAGCUGAGACAAUGGGGGCAACACUGAUCUAGCCAGGCCGCGAGAGUGAUGAAGGGCUUAGGGUGGUAAAGCUCGUUCAGCGGGGAAGAUAAUGACGGUACCAGCAGAAGAAGCCCCGCCUAACUCCUU